rnacentral:sRNA from 1 species
UCCGUAGGUGAACCUGCGGAAGGAUCAUUACCACACCGAUCUACGAUCAUUGUUUUGGAGAAACAUGUUAGUUUUGUCAGGUUUUGAACUGCGGUUUGGCGCGCCCCCACUUGUGAAACACUACUUGUGGUGUUUUGUGUGUGUGUGUGUGGAUCGUGUUGGAUCUGUCCUAGCAAGAAGCAGCUGUUGUUGCCAACAGUUGUAACAAUAUUAAUUGAACCAUUUGAACCAAUUGUGGAUUGAAUGAAGUCUUUUCAUCGGAACUAUUGAUGAUGGGACAAAUGGAACUACUAUAGGUUGUAGUUUUGGUUUCAUUGGAGGUUGCGAUGGAAAUUUUUUGUUUGACUACGCCUCUUUUUCUAAAUUAUUUUGAAUGUUUUGGAAUGUGUUAACCAGACUGGAAACUUACUUCUUAGGAUGUGUAGGUAUAGUACUGAACUGUAAACCAUUUUUCCACACCACCAAAGCAUCUGUUUGCGCGGAUUGUGUUUGGGAUGGAAAUUUGGAGAAAUUGAUUUUAAAUUCAUAAAAUACAACUUUCAGCAAUGGAUGUCUAGGUUCCCACAACGAUGAAGAACGCAGCGAAAUGCGAUACGUAAUGCGAAUUGCAAGACCUCGAGAAUCAUCUAGAUUUUGAACGCACAUUGCGCUGCUUGGAUUUUCCUGGUAGCAUGUUUGUCUGAGUGUCCGUGAACCCCUAUCAGCGCACUUAUUUUGUAUUGUAUAUAAUGACAAUGCACAACUGGUGUAGCUGGGAUUUUAUUUUGCCAGUGCCUCUAUUACUAUUUCUGUAGUGCGGGCUCUAGAGUGUGAAAAUGAUAUUUUUGAACCAAGAAAACUACCAAAUGGAGUUGGAAGUGGAGAAAAGGAUCAAUAAUUGGAUCUCUCUUAUCUUCUGUUUGGAAUCUCUCGUAGUGAAUAACUUUCGUACUAGAGAUGUGCGUACCUUGAUUGGUACCAGAGAACGGAACUGAUUGGAUAGUUCCAUGUUUGUUGGUGUCCGAGCUUGGAUGGAUGUAUUCCAUGCUUCAAUUUUUUUGUGUCCGGAUCUCAGCUUAAACAAGAGGACCCGCUGAAUUUAAGCAUAUCAAUAAGCGGAGGA